GAGUUUGAUCGUGGCUCAGAUUGAACGCUGGCGGCAUGCCUUACACAUGCAAGUCGAGCGGCAGCGCGGGGGCAACCCUGGCGGCGAGCGGCGAACGGGUGAGUAAUACAUCGGAACGUGUCCUGUCGUGGGGGAUAACCAGUCGAAAGAUUGGCUAAUACCGCAUGACCUCGUAAGAGAAAAGCGGGGGACCGUAAGGCCUCGCGCGACUGGAGCGGCCGAUGUCGGAUUAGCUAGUUGGCGGGGUAAAAGCCCACCAAGGCGACGAUCCGUAGCUGGUUUGAGAGAACGACCAGCCACACUGGGACUGAGACACGGCCCAGACUCCUACGGGAGGCAGCAGUGGGGAAUUUUGGACAAUGGGGGCAACCCUGAUCCAGCCAUGCCGCGUGUGUGAAGAAGGCCUUCGGUU
rnacentral:rRNA from 1 species